rnacentral:rRNA from 1 species
AUACGGAGGGUGCAAGCGUUAAUCGGAAUUACUGGGCGUAAAGCGUACGUAGGCGGUUAUUUAAGUCAGAUGUGAAAGCCCCGGGCUUAACUUGGGAACUGCAUUUGAAACUGGGUAACUAGAGUUUAGUAGAGGGGAGUGGAAUUUCAGGUGUAGCGGUGAAAUGCGUAGAGAUCUGAAGGAACACCAGUGGCGAAGGCGACUCCCUGGACUAAAACUGACGCUGAAGUACGAAAGCGUGGGUAGCAAACAGGAUUAGAAACCCCAGAAGUCC